CGAAAGCCUGACGGAGCAACGCCGCGUGAGGGAUGAAGGCCUCUGGGCUGUAAACCCCUUUUAUCAAGGAAGAAGAUCUGACGGUACUUGAUGAAUAAGCCACGGCUAAUUCCGUGCCAGCAGCCGCGGUAAUACGGGAGUGGCAAGCGUUAUCCGGAAUUAUUGGGCGUAAAGCGUCCGCAGGCGGCCCUUCAAGUCUGCUGUUAAAAAGUGGAGCUUAACUCCAUCAUGGCAGUGGAAACUGUUGGGCUUGAGUGUGGUAGGGGCAGAGGGAAUUCCCGGUGUAGCGGUGAAAUGCGUAGAUAUCGGGAAGAACACCAGUGGCGAAGGCGCUCUGCUGGGCCAUCACUGACGCUCAUGGACGAAAGCCAGGGGAGCG
rnacentral:rRNA from 1 species